rnacentral:snRNA from 1 species
GGGCUCAGACAACUAGCCAGGCAGCACAUAUUCUAAAAUUAAAACGCUAGAGAGAAGAUUAGCAUGGCCCCUGUGCAAGGAUGAAACAAAUUCUUGAAGCAUUCCACAUAUUU